GACAGAGGUGCCAAGCGUUAGGCGGAAUCACUGGGCUUAAAGCGUGUGUAGGUGGAUGUCUAAGUACCUUGUGAAAUCCCACGGCUCAACCGUGGAACUGCUCGGUAUACUGGAUGUCUUGAGCCACUUAGGGGCUACCGGAACAAAUGGUGGAGCGGUGAAAUGCGUAGAUAUCAUUUGGAACGCCAAUGGUGAAAACAGGUAGCUGGGGAGUGUGCUGACACUGAGACACGAAGCCAGGGGAGCGAACGGG
rnacentral:rRNA from 1 species